GACUUUACACAUGCAGUCGGACGGCAGCACGGGCUUCGGCCUGGUGGCGAGUGGCGAACGGGUGAGUAAUGUAUCGGAACGUGCCCAGUAGCGGGGGAUAACUACGCGAAAGCGUGGCUAAUACCGCAUACGCCCUACGGGGGAAAGCGGGGGACCUUCGGGCCUCGCACUAUUGGAGCGGCCGAUAUCGGAUUAGCUAGUUGGUGGGGUAACGGCCUACCAAGGCGACGAUCCGUAGCUGGUUUGAGAGGACGACCAGCCACACUGGGACUGAGACACGGCCCAGACUCCUACGGGAGGCAGCAGUGGGGAAUUUUGGACAAUGGGGGCAACCCUGAUCCAGCCAUCCCGCGUGUGCGAUGAAGGCCUUCGGGUUGUAAAGCACUUUUGGCAGGAAAGAAACGGCACGGGCUAAUAUCCUGUGCAACUGACGGUACCUGCAGAAUAAGCACCGGCUAACUACGUGCCAGCAGCCGCGGUAAUACGUAGGGUGCAAGCGUUAAUCGGAAUUACUGGGCGUAAAGCGUGCGCAGGCGGUUCGGAAAGAAAGAUGUGAAAUCCCAGGCUUACCUUGGAACUGCAUUUUUACUACCGGGCUAGAGUGUGUCAGAGGGAGUGGAAUUCCGCGUGUAGCAGUGAAAUGCGUAGAUAUGCGGAGGAACACCGAUGGCGAAGGCAGCCUCCUGGGAUAAC
rnacentral:rRNA from 1 species